UACGUAGGGUGCGAGCGUUAAUCGGAAUUACUGGGCGUAAAGCGUGCGCAGGCGGUCCGCUAAAACCGAUGUGAAAUCCCCGGGCUUAACCUGGGAACUGCAUUGGUGACUGGCGGGCUGGAGUAUGGCAGAGGGGGGUAGAAUUCCACGUGUAGCAGUGAAAUGCGUAGAGAUGUGGAGGAAUACCGAUGGCGAAGGCAGCCCCCUGGGCCAAUACUGACGCUCAUGCACGAAAGCGUGGGGAGCAAACAGG
rnacentral:rRNA from 1 species